GUUAACGCAUUUUAACAGGAAGAGCUGCAGCUCAGUGUAUGGCUGUAGGCAAUCUUCUGGGGGGGGGGGGGAAAAUUGGGCAAAACUGUCCUGCCUUUUCUCAUAAUACACUAUUCCAACCCUUAGAGCAUGUCAUUUCCUGUUAUACACCAAGCAACUGCAUUGGUUCCUUAAAAGGAUAAGGAUAAGAAGCAGACAGUGGACUGAACCAGCUGUGACAGAAUGGCCUUUUUACUAACAGCAGCCAUGGUUUUCCAGACUUUACUGGGAAAUGCUGCUGGAGAAGGAUGGGAAUCAUAUAACAAUUUUUCCAUUUGGAACUACACAUUUUAUUUAUACGAUCCCCAUCCUAAUACACACUCCAACCCCAGGAAUGCUGUGGUUGCAUGCAAGUUUCAAAAUAUCCCAGGAGAAAAACCCUCUGUUGUGUAACAGUUACAAUUGCUCAAGUACUCCAAAAAGCAACCCAAACAUUAAGAACACGAGGAAAUUUGGUUAUGAGGACACACUGCCCAGAGAGCAAUCAGCAGCUUGUAUGAAGCACAGUCACCACCCAGUCCCAUUCAACACAUGCAUAUCACACUUACGGGAAGUUCUGUUGGUAUCUCCCUGGGUGUUCUGAAGUAUUACCCUGUGCAAUUAUGAAUAUAAAUAUUGGUGCAGACAUCAAGUUAAACAUGAACAUUGUACCUUGAUUUGGAAAAUAAAAUAUUUAAACUUUAUAUUUAAAUUGUUCCU
rnacentral:lncRNA from 1 species